rnacentral:rRNA from 1 species
UACGUGAGGGCAAGCGUUGUCCGGAAUUAUUGGGCGUAAAGCGCGCGCAGGCGGUCUCUUAAGUCUGAUGUGAAAGCCCACGGCUCAACCGUGGAGGGUCAUUGGAAACUGGGAGACUUGAGUGUAGGAGAGGAAAGCGGAAUUCCACGUGUAGCGGUGAAAUGCGUAGAGAUGUGGAGGAACACCAGUGGCGAAGGCGGCUUCUGGCCUAUAACUGACGCUGAGGCGCGAAAGCGUGGGGGGAGCAAACAGG